UACGGAGGGUGCAAGCGUUAUGCGGAAUCACUGGGUUUAAAGGGUGCGUAGGCGGCUUAGUAAGUCAGGAGUGAAAGCCUGCGGCUUAACCGUAGAAUUGCUUUUGAUACUGCUGAGCUUGAAUUAGGUUGAGGUUGGCGGAAUGUGACAUGUAGCGGUGAAAUGCAUAGAUAUGUCAUAGAACACCAAUUGCGAAGGCAGCUGACUAGACCUUAAUUGACGCUGAGGCACGAAAGCGUGGGGAGCGAACAGG
rnacentral:rRNA from 1 species